GAAGAGUUAGGAGGGGCUAGUGUUUUCUCUAAAAUAGACUUAAGGUCAGGGUAUUGGCAAGUAAGAAUGAAAGAGGAAAAUGUGACAAAAACUGCAUUCAAGACUCACGAGGGACACUAUGAGUUUUUAGUAAUGCCCUUUGGGCUGACAAAUGCACCCUCAACUUUUCAAUCUUUGAUGAAUUCAAUAUUCAAGCUCACUUUUGAGGAAGUGUGUGCUUGUGUCCUUUGAUGAUAUCUUGAUUUACAAUAAAAAUGAGGGGGAACAUUUGAUCCAUUUGCAUGCUGUCCUUAAUUUGAUGAGGGAAUAUCAAUUAUAUGCUAAGGAGAGCAAGUGUCAUUUUGGGGCAGAUAAAGGGGAGUAUUUAGGCCAUGUGAUUACAGCUGAGGGGGUUCACACUGACCCUAAGAAGAU
rnacentral:misc_RNA from 1 species